GACGAACGCUGGCGGCGUGCCUAAUACAUGCAAGUAGAACGCUGAAGGAGGAGCUUGCUUCUCUGGAUGAGUUGCGAACGGGUGGGUAACGCGUAGGUAACCUGCCUGGUAGCGGGGGAUAACUAUUGGAAACGAUAGCUAAUACCGCAUAAUAGUAGAUGUUGCAUGACAUUUGCUUAAAAGGUGCACUUGCAUCACUACCAGAUGGACCUGCGUUGUAUUAGCUAGUUGGUGGGGUAACGGCUCACCAAGGCGACGAUACAUAGCCGACCUGAGAGGGGAAUCGGCCAAGCUGGGACUGGAGCACGGCCCGGAAUCCUACGGGAGGCAGCAGUAGGGAAUCUUCGGGAAAGGACGGAAGGCUGAACGAUCAACGCCGCGUGAGUGAAGAAGGUUUUCGGAUCGUAAAGCUCUGUUGUAAGAGAAGAACGAGUGUGAGAGUGGAAAGUUCACACUGUGACGGUACCUUACCAGAAAGGGACGGCUAACUACGUG
rnacentral:rRNA from 1 species